rnacentral:rRNA from 1 species
GAUGGGACUGCGGGUGAUCAGGCUGUUGGUGAGGUAACGGCUCACCAAACCUAUAAUCACUAGGGGCUAUGGGAGUAGCAGCCCCGAGACGGGCACUGAGACAAGGGCCCGAGCCCUACGGGGUGCAGCAGGCGCGAAAAUUCCGCAAUGCGCGAAAGCGUGACGGGGGAAAUCUGAUUGCUCCACGCAAGUGGGGCUUUUAGUGAGUUUGAAUAACUCGCUGAAUAAGUGGUGGGUAAAUCCUGUGCCAGCCGCCGCGGUAACACAGGUAACACGAGUGGUAUCCACGAAUAUUGAGUCUAAAGCGUCUGUAGCCGGCUAUGCCAGUUUUCUGUGAAAUCUUGGAGCUCAACUUCAAGGCGCGCAGGAAAUACUACAUGGCUUGGGAGUGGGGGAGGUAACGAGUACACUAGGGGGAACGGUAAAAUGUUGUAAUCCUUAGUGGACUACCGGUGGCGAAAGCGCGUUACCAAAACACGUCCGACGGUGAGAGACGAAGGCUAGGGGAGCGAAUCGGAUUAGAUACCCGAGUAGUCCUAUGCAGUAAAUCAUGCAAACUUGGCGUUGCAGUUGCUUCGAGUGGCUGCAGUGCCGUAGCGAAGGCGUUUAGUUAGCCACUUGGGGAGUACGAUCGCAAGAUUGAAACUUAAAGGAAUUGGCGGGGGAGCAC